ensembl:lncRNA
AUGGGGGAAAAAUCUGGGAAAAAAUUCCUGGAAAAAUGGGGAAAAAAUCCUGGAAAAUGGGGAAAAAAAUCCUGGAAAAAUUCCUGGAAAAAUGGGAAAAAAAUCCUGGAAAAAUUGCUGGAAAAAUGGGAAAAAAAAAUCCUGGAAAAAUGGGAAAAGAUUCAGAAAAAAUCCUGGAAAAAUAGGAAAAAAAUUCUGGGAAAAAUCAGAAAAAAAUCCUGGAAAAAAUCCUGGAAAAAUGGGAAAAAAAUCCUGGAAAAAUGGGAAAAAAUUCAGAAAAAAUGGGAAAAAAUUCAGAAAAAAUCCUGGAAAAUGGGGAAAAAAAUCCUGGAAAAAUUCCUGGAAAAAUGGGAAAAAAAUUCUGGAAAAAUGGGGAAAAAAUCCUGGAAAAAUGGGGAAAAAUUCAGAAAAAAUCCUGGAAAAAUGGGAAGAAAUUUCAUGGAAAAAUGGGGAAAAAAUCCUGGAAAAAUGGGAAAAAAUCCUGGAAAAAUGGGAAAAAAUUUCAGAAAAAAUCCUGGAAAAAUGGGAAGAAAUUUCAAGGAAAAACGGGGAAAAAAAUCCUGGAAAAAAUCCUGGAAAAAUGGGAAAAAAUUCAGAAAAAAUCCUGGAAAAAUGGGAAGAAAUUUCAUGGAAAAAUGGGGAAAAAAAUCCUGGAAAAAUUGCUGGAAAAAUGGGAAAAAUUCUGGGAAAAAAAUGGAAGAAAUUUCAUGGAAAAAUGUGAAAAAAAUCCUGGAAAAAUGGGAAAAAAAUCCUGAAAAAAUGGGAAGAAAUUUCAUGGAAAAAUGGGAAAAAAAUACGGAAAAAAUCCUGGAAAAAUUCUUGGAAAAAUGGAAAAAUUCUUGGGAAAAUUCUGAGAAAAAUGGGAAAAAAAUCCUGGAAAAAUGGGAAGAAAUUUCAUGGAAAAAUGGGGAAAAAAAUCCUGGAAAAAAUCCUGGAAAAAUGAGAAGAAAUUCAGAAAAAAUCCUGGAAAAAUGGGAAAAAGUUUCAUGGAAAAAUGGGAAAAAAUCCGGGAAAAAUUGCUGGAAAAAUGGGAAAAAAUUGUGGAAAAAUGGGAAAAAUUCAGAAAAAAUCCUGGAAAAAUGGAAAAAAAUCCUGGAAAAUGGGGAAAAAAAUCCUGGAAAAUGGGGAAAAAAAUCCUGGAAAAAAUCCUGGAAAAAUGGGAAAAAAAUUCUGGGAAAAAUCAGAAAAGAAUCCUGGAAAAAUGGGAAAAAAUUCAGAAAAAAUCCUGGAAAAAUGGGAAGAAGAUUCAUGGAAAAAUGGGGAAAAAAUCCUGGAAAAAAUCCUGGAAAAAUGGGAAAAAAUCCUGAAAAAAUGGGAAAAAAUUCAGAAAAAAUCCUGGAAAAAUGGGAAAAAAUUCUGGGAAAAAAGGGAAAAUUAUCCUGGAAAAAUGGGAAAAAAAUCCUGGAAAAAUUCCUGGAAAAAUGGGAAAAAAUCCUGGAAAAAUGGGAAAAAAACCCUGGAAAAAUGGGAAGAAAUUUCAUGGAAAAAUGGGAAAAAAUUCAGAAAAAAUCCUGGAAAAAUAAGAAAAAAAAUCCUGGAAAAAUGGGAAAAAAUUCUGGAAAAAUUCCUGGAAAAGUGGGAAAAUUCUUGGUAAAAAUUCUGGGAAAAAUGGGAAAAAAAAUCCUGGAAAAUGGGGAAAAAAAUCCUGGAAAAUGGGGAAAAAAAUCCUGGAAAAAAUCCUGGAAAAAUGGGAAAAAAAUUCUGGGAAAAAUCAGAAAAGAAUCCUGGAAAAAUGGGAAAACAUUCAGAAAAAAAUCCUGGAAAAAUGGGAAGAAAUUUCAUGGAAAAAUGGGGGAAAAAUCUGGGAAAAAAAUCCUGGAAAAAUGGAAAAAAAUUCUGGAAAAAUGGGAAAAAAAUCCUGGAAAAAUUCAGAAAAAAUGGGAAAAUUCUUGGGAAAAUUCUGAGAAAAAUGGGAAAAAAUCCUGGAAAAAUGGGGAAAAAAUCCGGGAAAAAAUCCUGGAAAAAUGAAAAGAAAUUCAGAAAAAAUCCUGGAAAAAUGGGAAAAAAUUCUGGAAAAAUGGGGAAAAAAUCCGGGAAAAAUUCCUGGAAAAAUGGGAAAAUUCUUGGGAAAAUUCUGGGAAAAAUGGGAAAAAAAUCCUGGAAAAAUGGGAAAAAUUCUGGGAAAAAAAUGGAAGAAAUUUCAUGGAAAAAUGGGAAAAAAUCCUAGAAAAAUGGGGAAAAAAUCCCCCCAAAAAUGGGAAAAAAAUUAAAAAAAAAAAAAGGGAAAAAUUCCCUAAAAAUGGGAAAAAAUCCAGAAAAUAAAAUCCCCAAAAAAUGAAAAAAAAUCCCUAAA